rnacentral:rRNA from 1 species
GACAGAGGCCUCAAGCGUUAGGCGGAAUCACUGGGCUUAAAGCGUGUGUAGGCGGAUCGUUAAGUGUCUUGUGAAAUCCCACGGCUCACCCGUGGAACUGCUGAGCAUACUGGCGAUCUUGGGCCAACUAGGGGCAACUGGAACAAGCGGUGGAGCGGUGAAAUGCGUAGAUAUCAGGAGGAACACCGGUGGUGUAGACGGCUUUCUGGACCGUAACUGACGCUGAGACACGAAAGCGUGGGUAGCAAACAGG